AGGUCAAGCUAUUAAGAGCAUAGGGUGAAUGCCUUGGCACCAGAAGCCGAUGAAGGACGUGAUAAGCUGCGAAAAGCUGCGGAGAGGCGCAAAUAGCCAUUGACCCGCAGAUGUCCGAAUGGGGGAACCCACCUGGGGUAAAUGCCCAGGUACAUGUAUGUGAAUACAUAGCAUACAUGGGGGAGACGUAGGGAACUGAAACAUCUAAGUACCUACAGGAAAAGAAAACAAAAGUGAUUCCGUAAGUAGUGGCGAGCGAAAGCGGAUUAGCCCAAACCGGGGUACAGCAAUGUAGCCCGGGGUUGAGGACCGGCGGAAUGAUUCGGAGUAUCUAGCAGAAUGAGGCACUGGAACGUGCAGACCAUAGAGGGUAAAAGUCCCGUAUGCGAAAGAUAUGAAGACAGGCCGGGAUCCAGAGUACCACAAGGCACGUGAAACCUGGUGGGAAGCAGGGAGGACCACCUUCCAAGGCUAAAUACUAACUGGUGACCGAUAGUGGAGCAGUACCGUGAGGGAAAGGUGAAAAGAACCCCGGGAGGGGAGUGAAAGAGAACCUGAAACCCUAUGUUUACAAGCAGUUGGAGAGCGUUAAGGCUCGACAGCGUACUUUUUGUAGAACGGUCCGGCGAGUUAUAGUAUGUGGCAAGGUUAAGUACUAGAGGUACGGAGCCGAAGGGAAACCGAGUCUUAACAGGGCGACAAAGUCACAUGCCAUAGACCCGAAACCGGGUGACCUAUCCAUGGACAGGUUGAAGCGGGAGUAAAAUCCCGUGGAGGACCGAACCACGUGACCGUUGAAAAGGUCUGGGAUGAGCUGUGGAUAGCGGAGAAAUUCCAAUCGAACUCGGAGAUAGCUGGUUCUCCCCGAAAUAGCUUUAGGGCUAGCCUCUAAUGAAAGUCUAGCGGAGGUAAAGCACUGAAUGGGCUAGGGGCCUUACCAGGUUACCGAACCCUAUCAAACUCAGAAUGCCGUAUAGACGAUGUUAGGGAGUCAGACUACGGGAGAUAAGUUUCGUAGUCAAAAGGGAAACAGCCCAGACCAUCAGCUAAGGUCCCAAAAUCACAGUUAAGUGGAAAAGGAUGUGGGUUUGCUAAGACAACUAGGAUGUUGGCUUAGAAGCAGCCAUUCAUUCAAAGAGUGCGUAAUAGCUCACUAGUCGAGUGAGCCUGCGCCGAAAAUUACCGGGGCUAAACUGUGUACCGAAGCUAUGGACUCAGAAAUGGGUGGUAGGGGAGCUUACUGUCGUAGGCCGAAGCACGAUCGUGAGGACGUGUGGACGA
rnacentral:rRNA from 1 species